GACGAACGCUGGCGGCGUGCUUAACACAUGCAAGUCGAACGGAAAGGCCCUGCUUGCAGGGUACUCGAGUGGCGAACGGGUGAGUAACACGUGGGUAAUCUGCCCUGCACCUCGGGAUAAGCCUGGGAAACUGGGUCUAAUACCGGAUAGGAGCCAUUUUUAGUGUGAUGGUUGGAAAGUUUUUUCGGUGUAGGAUGAGCUCGCGGCCUAUCAGCUUGUUGGUGGGGUAAUGGCCUACCAAGGCGGCGACGGGUAGCCGGCCUGAGAGGGUGGACGGCCACAUUGGGACUGAGAUACGGCCCAGACUCCUACGGGAGGCAGCAGUGGGGAAUAUUGCACAAUGGGCGCAAGCCUGAUGCAGCGACGCCGCGUGGGGGAUGACGGCCUUCGGGUUGUAAACUCCUUUCGCUAGGGACGAAGCUUUUUGUGACGGUACCUAGAGAAGAAGCACCGGCUAACUACGUG
rnacentral:rRNA from 1 species